CUUACAUGUACAGGCACUGCAGAUGUGGUUGCCACGUUACAUGUGCAUGAGUAGGUGGCUGAGAGGAGAGAGACAAUGUCUAAGUUUAGUGUUCUGACUUAUGAACAUCUGAAUUGUUAGUAACCUAACAUU
ensembl:snoRNA Gm26029 predicted gene, 26029